GACGAACGCUGGCGGCGUGCCUAAUACAUGCAAGUAGAACGCUGAAGGAGGAGCUUGCUUCUCUGGAUGAGUUGCGAACGGGUGAGUAACGCGUAGGUAACCUGCCUGGUAGCGGGGGAUAACUAUUGGAAACGAUAGCUAAUACCGCAUAAUAUUGACUCUUGCAUGAUAGUCAGUUGAAAGGUGCAACUGCACCACUACCAGAUGGACCUGCGUUGUAUUAGCUAGUUGGUGGGGUAACGGCUCACCAAGGCGACGAUACAUAGCCGACCUGAGAGGGUGAUCGGCCACACUGGGACUGGGACACGGCCCAGACUCCCACGGGAGGGAGCAGUAGGGAAUCUUCGGCAAUGGACGGAAGUCUGACCGAGCAACGCCGCGGGAGUGAAGAAGGUUUUCGGAUCGUAAAGCUCUGUUGUAAGAGAAGAACGAGUGUGAGAGUGGAAAGCUCACACUGUGACGGUAUCUUAACAGAAAGGGACGGCUAACUACGUG
rnacentral:rRNA from 1 species